AUCUGUGGUCAGCGAGGCCCACGAUCCAGCUAGGAGUCACUGUUAUCGCUUCUCAGUUUAAUAUCUGAUAUGUCCUCUAUAUGAGGACAACAUAUUAAACAGAUUUUUUGUAUUAAGGGGUUGAAUGAGGAGCAUGCUCUCUUCACCCCAAGCAUCGACCUAGCACUGCAGUGCAGCUGGGAGUGGUGCACUCUCU